UUCACCCGUGACUGCAUUGAUGUAUCCGGUACUUAAUUCGAACCUACUUUCACACUUUAAAUUCCUCCCCACCACAUGACUUGCCAUCCACAAUAGCAUCCUUCGUUGUUCAAGCUUGUCUGAACAGCACACUACCAAAUUUGUUGUCUUUCUUUCUUUCUCCAACAUCUAUCACACUGAUUGUUUUCUGAUCUUCGAAACCACAUACGGUUUUAGCGUUUGGACCGGCCUCGCAACCUACAAACCUAUGCCAUGAAAGUGUGUGUGCGCGGGAGCUUCUUUUGUUACAAGAUUCCAUGGCUGUUCUAUCUUCCAUUCAUUGUUGGAAUCGGUGAUCUCGGAAAUUUUUGCAAGAAAUGUGAGUGGUGAAUGUAAAGGUGAUAUGACUAAACCCUAGGCUCUCACAUGAUAUGGAAUCAAACCUGCAAACUUGAAUAGUUUUGUGUAAGAAUUCAACUGUAGUGUAAGAAAAAUAUUGUCUUUUCAAUAUGAAUUCGAAAACUGAUGCACAGAAUGAAGUCUUUAGAUAUGAACAUAAAGCAAAGCACGCGAGAUACAUUUUCAAUAUCAAACGAAGCUUCAAUCCUUUCAUUACCGAUAAAUAUUCAGUCAACUUUUAUCAGCCGAAGAUGAAUUUUGAAUGUCAUCCUGGUCCUCUUAAUGCAUCGGUGUUGUGUUCUUGGACAAGAAUCACCGUGCGUUUGAGGUAUUCAAAAAUCCAACAGAGUAUAGUAACCCAAUAAAUAUUAGAUGAUCAGAUCGAGUGUUCUGGCAGUAUAUGAAAGAUAAUCCGGUUGGUGGAAGGGUAGAAGGUUUAAUACAUGCAGCAGGAUUCAGCGGGAUGCUGCAAAUUGGGUACAAGUAUGUAGACCACUCCUUAAUAACUGUGUUGGUUGAGAGGUGGAGGCCAGAAACUCACACGUUUCACCUUCCUUUUGGAGAAACGACUGUGACAUUACAGGAUGUCAACGUGUUGUGGGGGCUACCAAUAGAUGGGUUGCCUAUUUCUAGGGCUGACACUGGUAUGUCGAUGUAUACUGUAAGAGACAAGUGUCAACAGGUGUUGGGGUUUACCCCUGAGGAAGCUGAUGUGAGGGGCAAAAGGGUUAAGUCCUCCCGAGUUUUACAACAAAUAAUGUCCAAUUUUUCUGAAAACGAAGCAUCAGAUCAAGAUUGCAUUUUUCGUGCACGUCAAAUAAUAUUUUAUUUGAUAGGGUGCACAAUCUUACCUGAUUGAUGUCAAAUUUUUAGAAUUUCUCGUAGACUUGGCCGCAUGUUCGGGAUAUAGUUGGGGCAGUGCUGUGUUAGCUCACCUUUACAGAAACCUUUGUAACGCUGCAGCACCUAAUGCUAUAGCCAUUACUGGCCCAGUUGCGCUUCUACAAGUGUGGGUUUGGGAGAGGUUUCGUUGUUUUGCUCCUGCUGUUGCCCGGUUCCAGUACAAUGCCCCGUUAGUUGCUCGGUGGAAGGGAAGCUUAACGUGUACAGAUGUUUCCACACAUUGCCUGAUCUCAGCUGCAAUUUAUGACCGAGGCAACGUUUAAUUGGAGACCAUACGACGACAUUGUGGGUAGACUCCCCGAUAUAUGUCGGAGUGGUAUGGGAAUUUGGCGGAGUUGUUGCCCUCUGCUAUACUACUCGAUUGUGGAGCAUCACUAUCCUCAACGAGUGAUGAGACAUUUUGGCAUGUUCUAGUAUAUACCUAACCCAAUUGCCAUAGAUAAUAAUGAGCAUGCCAGGCUUCAUUCCAUGAACCGGAGCGGGAAAACCGGCUGGAACUGGUUAAGUCACGCACCGUAUGUUUGUCAGUGGGAGGUACGUCAUCAAAACUUGGUCACCGGGGAACUCAUGACAUCUGUUGGAGUUGCCAAUGAUUAAAUGCCAUGGUACAUGGAACAUACCGUGUUAUAUGUGUCUAACCCACAGUUGCCAGCUGGCCCUACGAGCGGUUUUCAAGACGAAGGAGCAAGGGCCCAAAUGAUGUCGGAGACGAUGGGUCUAAUUCACCGAUCUGAAGAUGUGGACGUUAUUCAUGGUGCGGCGUAUCGGGCCAUUGAGAUGUCUAAUGUUCCACAAUACACACAAUAUCCGACUCAUCUGUCACAGGAGCCGGUGGACCUUGUUUCAUAUCCUCGUACACAGAGGGUAGGGAGGCCCCGACGUCGUGGUCGUGGUGGUAGAAACGUUCAAGAGGCCGGGACAUCAAAUUGGGGCCCAAACUUCGAAACAGGGGGGAUCAGGAUCCGGUGGUAACGAAGAUGAAAAUUUUGCGGGAAACUUUGGUGGGUCACAUAACGUUGGCACUUUUUUUGCGGAUGCUAAUAUAGCGCCAAACAAUGAUAAUACUGAUAUGGGUGGAUCAUGGCAGUCAGUGUUGGCUACGACAUGCUCCGAGGGUUUUGACGUCAGUGACUUAUUGAACCCCCAACAGAAUGAUAUGGGUAACAACAAUCAGUUUGUAGACCCAAACAUAAGUCAGGCGGGGUUUUUUAGCCCCUCGUCAACAUAUGAUGGACCCCAACACAAGUCUGGCAGGGUUUGUUACCCCCGCGUCACAGAUGAUAACCUUUAUGCCGGAGACCCAAACAGACUAUCAGUACUGGGCCCCAAACCAAAGUAACGAAGAUCACCGGAACCAUUAUACAAAUGUUGAACCAAACCCCUCAGACUGGAGUCUCGACUUGAACUUGUUUCCACCAUCGAAUGACCCAUAGAGUGUAAUAC